CUCCAAAACCUUAAGUUUGGGCGGGUCGGGGUUUUGGAGCGAGAGAGAGAGAGAUGUCUUCUCUUGCAAUGGCGCUGCUGCAAUCUCCUUCCCUUUCGAUCGAAACCCUAGAAUUCUAGGCCCGAUCGAGAAAUGGAGAAAGGUCUGAUCUCUGUCGAUCGAUGGGGCGAACAGAGCCAGGCCUAUUUCCUCACUCACCUCCACGCUGACCACACCAAAGGCCUAUCUUCCAAAUGGAAGAAGGGCCCUCUCUUCUGCUCUCCCAUCUCCGCCAAUAUCUUCCCUGCCAAAUUCCCGGGUUUCAAACUCUCCUUGCUUCGGAUCCUAGAGACUGGAUCUCCGCACUCGAUUUCUUUGAUCUCUCCGACUUCCGGUUCGAAGAUUGGGGUUCAGGUCACGCCGAUCGACGCCCAUCAUUGCCCCGGUGCUGUAAUGUACUUGUUUCGUGGGGACUUUGGAUGCAUGCUUUACACUGGUGAUUUUCGUUGGGAAACUGCCAAUGACAGGGCACUGCUGGGGAAGAGCAUGCUCCUUGGUGCUCUCGGGGGUGAUGAAGUAGAUUUCCUCUACAUAGACAACACUUACUGCAAUCCAUCAUUUUCAUUCCCUCCUCGUGAAGUUGCUGCUCAACAGGUUAUCGAUGUCAUUGCUUCUCAUCCUGAUCAUGACAUUGUCAUCGCCAUUGAUACGCUUGGGAAAGAAGAUCUUUUGCUUCACAUUUCUCGCACUUUCAGGACAAAGAUCUGGGUAUGGCCAGAACGUUUGCAAAUCAUGCACCUUCUCGGGUUCAGUAACAUCUUCACAACAAAAACCUCUCUUACAAGAAUUCGAGCCGUUCCCCGCUACAGUCUCACGAUCGAAAAUCUCGAGGCACUGAACACCAUACACCCUACUAUUGGAAUCAUGCCAUCUGGACUGCCAUCAGCGAUGAAACCCAUUCAUCGAAAAGAUGCUUCUGUUGGAUCUUCCCCUUCACUUCAGCAUAGCAGCAAAGUUAGUAGAAACGGCACCGAUGGAAAGCCAAUCUCCCGCAAAAGCUUCCACAGCUGCAUCUAUUCCAUCCCUUACUCCGAUCACUCCUGCUUCAAUGAAAUACAAGAAUUUGUUAAGCUCAUCAAGCCGUCGAACAUAACUGGCAUUGUUUCUUCAUCAUUUUGUUAUGUCAACCCUCGGCACUUCUUUGGCCACCUAUGCGGAUCUAAUCAGCAAUCGAAUAAGCCAUUAAAGAAGUUGAAAAGGAGUGAAAUAACUGAGAAUGACAGAAUCAUCCAACCUGAAUCCAUUCUUGGGUGUGAUAAACUCAAUGAGGAGAAGGUGAGGGAUAAGAAUACAAAGAUUGCUAUUCUUAGCAUACGGAGAAGAAGGGUAAGCAUAAUAAGGCAAGAGGGGUGUGGUGCUAAGAUCGCUGAAACCAAUGGCAUCUGUAGAUCUGAUUUCGAUGCCGGAAUUACAUAACCGGAAAGGGUUAAAAUGACUCUGCUGAAAGAUGGGUUGUUGUCUCAUGGGAAUGAUUUCUUGUCACUGUAUGUUUUGUAAGAAGAUUUGUACAUUUGAGUGGAAAAAUGUCAUGUGCUACUGCUACUUUGAUUCUAGCAUUAACAAAGGCACGGUUUUUCGUUCCAUUCAAACUGCCAAGGUGGCAUGUGCAUAUGAUGAUUCUAUGUUCAUUCUGUGGACCCUACUUUGGAUGGGCUGUGGUCCAAAAGAUAGUACUGAAUGGUGGUCUAGAAGAUCAAUGGUCUCAACAGGCAAAGAUUUGUGCUGAAUGUGCGGUGGAGAUGCUGGAGAUGGGUGAACUCCCAUCCCUACCAAUGCUCGUUAGCACCCUGGAACAACAAGCAACAAUUGUGGUUGUGAGAUCUGUCGGCAGCCCAUGUUAUGAACUGUUUGAUCCUGAUUGGACGGUUGCUAGAUGUGUGGACCACCAGCUACACUUGUAAGUGGGCUCCACAUCUGACAAACUUUAGGAUAUCUGACAACUCUCCAAUUGGUAAGAUAAUCAAAUGCUGGGUAUUUCUGAUACAUCUUCAGUAGUUUCUUAAAGAAUGAAGCUGUCAGCUGUAAAUCGACAUGAUUGUGUUAGAGACUUGAAAAUUACAAGAGGAAAUGUUUUCCUGCUCA